AUUGAACGCUGGCGGCAUGCUUUACACAUGCAAGUCGAACGGUAACAGGUUAAGCUGACGAGUGGCGAACGGGUGAGUAAUGCAUCGGAACGUGCCCGAUCGUGGGGGAUAACGCAGCGAAAGCUGCGCUAAUACCGCAUACGAUCUGAGGAUGAAAGCGGGGGACCGUAAGGCCUCGCGCGAUCGGAGCGGCCGAUGUCAGAUUAGGUAGUUGGUGGGGUAAAGGCUCACCAAGCCGACGAUCUGUAGCUGGUCUGAGAGGACGACCAGCCACACUGGGGCUGGGACACGGCCCAGACUCCUACGGGGGGCAGCAGGGGGGAAUUUUGGACAAUGGGCGAAAGCCUGAUCCAGCAAUGCCGCGUGCAGGAAGAAGGCCUUCGGGUUGUAAACUGCUUUUGUACGGAGCGAAAAGGCUCUCUCUAAUACAGGGGGCUCAUGACGGUACCGUAAGAAUAAGCACCGGCUAACUACGUGCCAGCCGCCGCAGUAAAAC
rnacentral:rRNA from 1 species